CAGUCGCCGCGGUAAUACGAAGGGGGCUAGCGUUGUUCGGAUUUACUGGGCGUAAAGCGCACGUAGGCGGACUUUUAAGUCAGGGGUGAAAUCCCGGGGCUCAACCCCGGAACUGCCUUUGAUACUGGAAGUCUUGAGUAUGGUAGAGGUGAGUGGAAUUCCGAGUGUAGAGGUGAAAUUCGUAGAUAUUCUGAGGAACACCAGUGGCGAAGGCGGCUCACUGGACCAUUACUGACGCUGAGGUGCGAAAGCGUGGGGAGCAAACAGGAUUAGAUACCCGCGUAGUCCCUGUCUCUUAUAU
rnacentral:rRNA from 1 species